GAGAGAGAAAAAAAAUGUUUCAGAGGAAGGAGCCCCUGCCUUCUGGUGAAGAGUAUUCAAGAUGAAGAUAAACUUUUCAACUUAAUAUCGAGACUUUGAUAGCAGAAGGGAUCUACUCUUGAAAGUCCAAAAAAUGUUGUUGCUAUAGGAACAGACUCGGUGAACAAGACAUUUGAGAAGAGAAGGUCAAAGACCCAGCUGCACUUCUGCUUCACUGCUGAACUUCUGCUUCUUCCUAUCAGGGAAUACACUGCUCCUCACAUUAGGGAUUUCCUAAAAUUGUUAGGUGUUUUGAACAGAACUGGCUAUACCAAUGAGGCUCAAACAAGAAUCAUAAAGUGCAUGGUGCUUCUCUCCCUCUCUGUUUUCUUUAAAAAGAAAACAUUCUUGACAAGAUGAAUACAAUAUUUUCAUUCUAGCAAAUUUCUGCUGUCAGAGGUUAUAUUUACAGGAUAGAGAGAUUUCUCAAACAUGACCUUUUCUCGUGUAAUACCAGAGUGAAAUUUUAGAAAAGUCUGUGUGUGUGUGAUGCGUGCGUGUGUGUGUGUGUGUGUGUGUGUGUGUGUGUGUCUCGCAGGCUGAGAAGUGGGAUGGGAAGAAGGGAAUGUGGCUAGAAUCUUACCAUCUCAUUCUCUUCUCCUUCAUUGAGCAGAGCGUGCUGGCCCUUCUCAAAGUGUCCCAUGAAAAAGUUAUUCCACACCUCCUCCCUGACCUUGUCGUGCAGACGCUUCCAGGAUGAACUCCAACUCGCCGAGCCACCGCAGCUCCUCAGCUGACUAAAAGAGUUAAUGAUCCUCCAGGUUAAAACUCCUCCUUGAGCACACACCUUCUCUCAACAAAUGACAAUACUUGGCAAACUGAACUCCUCCCACGAGUCGCCCUCUGCUAGGAGGAAUUGCUGGCUGCUCCCUGCUUAUUGCAUUCUCUCAGAGCAGCUGUCUCAAAGGAGGCUGCUCCCAUGCCGAUCUUUUUGUGCCCAACUUACAGGGAAAGAACUCAUUGCCUGCCCAGUGCCUGCCAGCCUCAGACUUCUGACUGCAAAUCCAACAGGACAAUACAGAGUUGGCAGGACCCUUCUCAGGAGUGAGGAGCGGGUGCAAGAACUCCCAGGUCACUGCUUUAUUCAGAGGACCUAAGGAAUUGGGUUGAGCGGAAGCGCACAGAGCUGCAGAUUUUCUUUGAUGAAUGAAAGCUUCAAUCCACAGGUUUCUAAUAGUACUCUCAUUCAUUUUGCUUACAAAAGGUACAGAUUAUCACUAAUCCUCUUCAAAAGGUAUUUGUAAUCACAUUUCCUUGUAUAUGCAAAAAAAAUUCUAUUUAAAGUGUAUGUGAAAUUAAGUUUACUUUUUUGAAACACAUGUAGAAAAAGAACAAAGGUAUCAUCAAACUAGUCUAUGUAGUCUCCUUUCACUAAAAUAUUGAUGGUUCAACACUUAAGGAAGUCUAGAAAUAAAAUAUUCAAAUGAC
rnacentral:lncRNA from 10 species